CUCCAGCAUCCUUUUUUCUGGCAUCUUUCCCCAGGCCUGGAGUGACACUUCCACCCCUGGGCAGGUGCAUUUUAAGGGGGUUCUGUAGAGACAGCGCUUGCCCCCGAGGGAAGCUGAGAUAAAAGGUGCAAAGAUAGGCUUGGUGCCCAGCGGUGCCAGGGAGACUCCCAAGGGCUUCCUGGAAUUCUCCAGACAGCGGGAGAAUGGCUUUCUGCUUCCUCCACUCCCCAAACCCGUGGGCCCCCAGGAGCAUUUCCAGAAUUCCUGGAGGCACCUGGCGCAAGUCGGAUGUAGCCUGGAGGAUAGACAUGGGACUUCCAGGACUACGAAGUCCAGAGAUGAAGAUACCAGGCAAGCAAGCACAGUGACUCAGCUGCCGCCAGCAGCAAGGAAGCUCUGAGUCGGGGGAGGGGUGUGUGUGAGGGGGAGAAGGGAGGACUGGACGCCCAGCCCCCCCACCUCGCUCCGGGAAGGCCGGCUCACCACGCCCAGCUUCCCAGAGGAGCCUGCAAGUCCCAAGGGUUUCAAUUCUGUGUCAAGUUACUGACAAAGUCUGGCACUUGCCUAUAGCACUCUCUGAUGACUUACCUUCCUUUAGGGACAAGGAAACUGAGGCACAGCGAGGCCAAGCUACUGAGUGACUGAACUGCAGCUUCCAAGCAAGCAACCCCGUCCUCAACUUUGUUCCAAGUCACACUCAGCUGUAUAAUAGUGGGACUCUCAGCUCCAGCACCAUGUCUGCCUGCCCGACACCAUGCUCCCUGUCAUGAUGAUAACGGACUGAACACCUGAAACUGUAAAGGAGCCACCCCAUUAAAUGUUUUCUUUAUAAGA